AGGGGUGUAGCUCAGUGGUAAAGGGUAUACUUACCAUGCAUGAGGUCCUGGGUUCAGUCCCCAGUACCUCCA
rnacentral:tRNA from 1 species